rnacentral:rRNA from 1 species
CGGGGGGACGCCUACCAUGCAGUCGAGCGCAAUCCUUCGGGAUCGAGCGGCGGACGGGUUAGUAACGCGUGGGAACAUACCCUUCUCUAAGGAAUAGCCUCGGGAAACUGAGAGUAAUACCUUAUACGCCCUUCGGGGGAAAGAUUUAUCGGAGAGGGAUUGGCCCGCGUAAGAUUAGAUAGUUGGUGGGGUAAUGGCCUACCAAGUCUACGAUCUUUAGCUGGUUUGAGAGGAUGAUCAGCAACACUGGGACUGAGACACGGCCCAGACUCCUACGGGAGGCAGCAGUGGGGAAUCUUAGACAAUGGGCGAAAGCCUGAUCUAGCGAUGCCGCGUGUGUGACGAAGGCCUUAGGGUCGUAAAGCACUUUCGCCAAGGAUAAUAAUGACAGUACUUGGUAAAGAAACCCCGGCUAACUCCGUGCCAGCAGCCGCGGUAAC